UACAAUGAUCCAUCUAGGCCCGCAAUAU
rnacentral:piRNA from 1 species